rnacentral:rRNA from 1 species
UACAGAGGUGCCAAGCGUUGUUCGGAUUUAUUGGGCGUAAAGGGUGCGUAGGCGGUUGUGUAAGUCGGGUGUGAAAUUUCGGAGCCUAACUCCGAAACUGCAUUCGAAACUGCACAGCUCGAGGUUUGGAGAGGUGACUGGAAUUCUUGGUGUAGCAGUGAAAUGCGUAGAUAUCAAGAGGAACACCAGAGGCGAAAGCGAGUCACUGGACAGAACCUGACGCUGAGGCACGAAAGCUAGGGUAGCAAACGGG